GGGGAAUUUUCCGCAAUGGGCGAAAGCCUGACGGAGCAAUACCGCGUGAGGGAAGACUGCCUAUGGGUUGUAAACCUCUUUUUUCAGGGAGGAAUUCAAUGACGUGUACCUGAAGAAUAAGCAUCGGCUAACUCCGUGCCAGCAGCCGCGGUAAUACGGAGGAUGCAAGCGUUAUCCGGAAUGAUUGGGCGUAAAGCGUCCGCAGGUGGCAGUUCAAGUCUGCGGUCAAAGACUGGGGCUCAACCCUGGAAAGGCAGUGGAAACUGGACAGCUAGAGGAUGGUGGGGGUAGAGGGAAUUCCCAGUGUAGCGGUGAAAUGCGUAGAGAUUGGGAAGAACACCGGUGGCGAAAGCGCUCUGCUAGACCAUAACUGACACUCAGGGACGAAAGCUAGGGAAGCGAAAGGGAUUAGAUACCCCUGUAGUC
rnacentral:rRNA from 1 species